GCGGAAGUAGCUCAGUUGGUAGAGCGUCAGCCUUCCAAGCUGAGGGUCGCGGGUUCGACUCCCGUCUUCCGCUCCA
rnacentral:tRNA from 1 species